rnacentral:rRNA from 1 species
GAUGAACGCUGGCGGCGUGCCUAAUACAUGCAAGUCGAGCGAACAGAUGCGGAGCUUGCUCCUCUGACGUUAGCGGCGGACGGGUGAGUAACACGUGGAUAACCUACCUAUAAGACUGGGAUCACUUCGGGAAACCGGAGCUAAUACCGGAUAAUAUCUUGAACCGCAUGGUUCAAUAGUGAAAGACGGUUUUGCUGUCACUUAUAGAUGGAUCCGCGCCGCAUUAGCUAGUUGGUAAGGUAACGGCUUACCAAGGCAACGAUGCGUAGCCGACCUGAGAGGGUGGUCGGCCACACUGGAACUGAGACACGGUCCAGGCUCCUACGGGAGGCAGCAGUAGGGAAUCUGACGCAAUGGGCGAGAGCCUGACGGAGCAGCGCCGCGUGAGUGAUGAAGGUCUUCGGAUCGUAAAACUCUGUUAUUAGGGAAGAACAAAUGUGUAAGUAACUAUGCACGUCUUGACGGUACCUAGUCAGAAAGCCACGGCUAACUACGUG